UACAGAGGUCCCCGAGCGUUUGUUCGGAUUCAUUGGGCGUAAAGGGUGCGUAGGCGGUCUUCUAAGUUUUGAUGUGAAAUCCCGGGGCUCAACCCCUGGAAUGGCAUUGAAUACUGGAGGACUAGAGUACCGGAGAGGAAAACUGGAAUUUACGGUGUAGCAGUGAAAAUGCGUAGAGAUCGUAAGGAAGACCAGUGGCGAAGGCGAGUUUCUGGACGGUAACUGACGCUGAGGCACGAAGGCCCAGGGGGAGCAAAACGGG
rnacentral:rRNA from 1 species